GGUGGCUUGCUACUUCGAUGUCGUCUCUUCCUAUCCUGGGUCUGCAGCAGGACCCAAGGGUGGGGUUGUUCGCCCAUUAAAAGGGAUCGUGAGAUGGGUUUAGACCGUCGUGAGACAGGGUUGUUGCUUGGUGGUGGAAGCGUUGUUGCUUGAUGGAAGGGGUCCUUCAGUACGAGAGGAACGAGGGCUCGGGGCCACUAGUUUACCAGUUGUCUGAUAAGGCAAUGCUGGGCAGCCACGCCCUAGCGGAUAAGAGCUGAAAGCAUCUAAGCUCGAAGCCGCCCCAAAGACGAGGCAAUGCAGAACUCUCGUAGAAGACGAGUUUGAUAGACUUCGGAUGUAAG
rnacentral:rRNA from 1 species